UAACAUGUUGCUCCUCCUUAUAUAGGAACAAUGCAGACAUUAGAUGCAAGGCAUAUAGAAUUAUUCCUAUGUGAAGGCUACCAAAACGGGAGCUGGGAGUAUGAGGUUGUCGGAUCUCAUGAUGUUAAGAAACGAGCAGAUGGGGCUACUGGCUCCAUUUUUAGAUAUGAAAGCUUGAAGUUGAAAUACAACAACGAUCAGUUCGUGCCCGCGACUUUAGAUGGAUACAGGAUUUUAGUUCCAUUUUAAUCUAUAAAUAUGAUAAAGCCAGACUUAUUUGUCUUUCUCUCUCCUCUGGAAUACUUGCUUCUCAUGCAUUUUUCUCUGUGGUUGAUUUCACAUUUAAUACAAUUAUGAAUUUUAAUGCUGAUUGUUUAAUUGAAAAAUUGAUUCCAAAGAUGAGAAUACGUUUCAACCCAAAUUUUUGCAUCGCACAUCAAUUUUUCUCUUCUCUCACUCUUUUUACUUACUAUACUAUCAUCUCCCUCUUCUAAAUCUGUUGUCGGCAGCCUCCCAAUUCCCAAACCCCAAACGCCCACGACCACGCGCGAUCGUCCUCAUUGCCUCUGGUCUUGAUUGUCUCUCCUAUGUCCACCAUAGUCCGUUUCAUUCAUUUCUUUGUUUCCAAAACAAUCUUCAAUUUAAGAUCCAUGUUCUCUUUUUCCGAUUAGGAAAUGUGCAUUAACGAUGAGAUGCAUCGUGCUUCUUCGAAACCCAUUUAAUCAGUAACCCAGGAAUUUCUUUUGAAGCAUAAUGGUGUGGUUUUAUUUACAGACUUACUCUAGAGAUUUGCACAUCAC